rnacentral:lncRNA from 1 species
AGCUGUCGAGACACCAUUGUAUCUAUCUGGGUUCACAUAUGUUCAAGAUCCCCAUGUGUCACAAACACCUCAAACAACUGAUCAACCUUAUAUUGGCCAUUUUGCCAAGUUACCAUCAGUUCAGACAAAUAUCAAUCUUGGGCAUACUCCUUACGACUUCACUACUGUGCCUAAUGUGGAUGAUCAUAAAAAAUUAAAGAAAUUGAAGAGGGUGCCAGAUCCAUCAGAAGAUAUAGUGAUGAAAG